CUCUGUCUGAAGUAGAGGAUUCUGGGUGGAAGUGAGGCUGCAGCCAUCUCGUGUCGGAGUCAAACAAGUCACUGUCUACUGUUAUCUACACACAUGACUUAAUGUUAGCGGAAACAGACAAGUAAAUAACAUGCCGUGUGUUUAUCGCACAUGGGACUGAUCUCCAUCCCUCGCUCCCUCUCCUUAUCUCCCUGCCUGAAGAACUCCUCCAUGAUUCUCUCCGUCCAUUGUCGAUACACAGCCAGGGGUUUCGUAGGAUUGCUCAGUGCUUGUGCCUCCACUCUGACAGAUUGAAGCAGAAGGGAGAAUGUGACCAGAACGAAAUAGGCGGCUUGUGAAUUAACUUCCUAUGAACACCAAUGAAUGAAAAAAAAAGAAGAAGAAUCACAUUUUCUACCCUCCUUCUCCCUGAAAUGUCAAAACAUUCCCUGUAUUCUGUC